rnacentral:rRNA from 1 species
UACGUAGGGGGCAAGCGUUAUCCGGAUUUACUGGGUGUAAAGGGAGCGUAGACGGCGAUGCAAGCCAGAUGUGAAAGCCCGGGGCUCAACCCCGGGACUGCAUUUGGAACUGUGUGGCUGGAGUGUCGGAGAGGCAAGUGGAAUUCCUAGUGUAGCGGUGAAAUGCGUAGAUAUUAGGAGGAACACCAGUGGCGAAGGCGGCUUGCCGGACGAUGACUGACGUUGAGGCUCGAAAGCGUGGGGAGCAAACAGG